CUUACUCUCCACCCACUAGCCAGCUGUGAGUCUCUGUGUGAGUAACAAUCCACUGCAAAAAAUACUCUCCAAUGAGGCCUGAGGACUUUACUGAUCCAUGGAUAUAAGGGUAUGUUACACCGAGCCCGUUAUGCAGUUUCAAAGAUUUUAAUUCACCGCAUAAGUGGGUCAUUGAUCGGUCAGGGCUGCAGGACAAGGACUCGGGAACCUUGUUUCUCCUCGUUAAAAUUCACCAGCACUUGUUGCCAAGUUACAGUUACAAUGUUCACCAAUCAGAAAUCAAAGAUUAGGGACUUUUCUUGACGUUCCAUCAUUGUCAACUUACAUACAAUGCAAGCCUUUUAGUCCAACCAAUCAGAUUCAUUUGUUCCUUCUGUUGUUAGGAACAGCUACAAUGUUUCUAGAGAGCUAAAGAGGCAUACUGACUAUUUCUAUGGUGAAGGGAGGAGGCUGAUCAGCCCUUGGGAAGUUCUCAGUUUCCCCAGGGCUUGGGAACCUGAACUUCAUUUCAUACUACAGCUUCCCUUCAGGAGAAUGAAGAAGCAAGAGCCCAUCUUGGAAGUGGAGCCUGGCCCCAGUGGGGAACCUGCUGGUGCCCUGCUCAUGGGCUGGUAGCCAACAGCCCUCCUCCUCCUGACUGACAUGCGCCUUCACGGUUGCUUCCCUGCCUUCCCAUUUGAGGGAGCCCUUUCUGCUCUGGGACUCAUAAUCUCAGUAUGAGAAAGCCGCCUCUUUCUCCCCACAACUCCUCCAGCGAUCGUGUCAACCUUCGACUGCAAUGAAGAUCUUCUAAAGACGCUCCUGCUCCUCCCUCUGGCUAUCGGACUAGUGAGAUAACAGUCUCCAAGGAAUUGGAAUUUCCCUAGGAGACUCUUGCUGGGAGAAAGAAAAGGUCAGAUUCUAGACACCAGACAGAGGAAGAGCCUGUGUGAAAUCACACAGUUCUGACAACGUGUCAGACCGUGCCACAGGAGGGACUGGAAUUGAACUACAAAUGGGUGCCACUGUAUCAUACUGUAAGGGGAAUGAUGGGUGCCACUGUACCCCACUUUAAGGGAAUGCGCACUUAUGAACGAACACCUUUUACGGUCUACUUUUAUCUGUCUAGCGGCUACCCUCCCUAGUCUGAGGAGGUCCUCGAUGUUUUCUGAUGUUUUCUGGGACUUUGAUUUAGGCCAAGCCAGGAUUUGAGGCUUCAAUGCUGAGGAGAAUUUCAGCUAUUUAGAAUAUAUAACAUACUUAGAAUAACAGUGAAUUCAGUUACUUAGUAUAUAUGGAAUUUCAGAGAAUAUAGUUAAGCAGAUUUAGAAACUGUAUUAAAGAUCUUUUUACUUCAGGAUGGAGAACAAGGUUAAGAGAAAGAGAUGCUGUCAGAGGAAGGUAAGGCAAACUCAGAUGGGGACAUGCAGUUCCCAAGUAAGACAAAGGUAUGGGCUCCUCAAGGGAGAGGGAGCCAUUAAUUUUCUUAGUAUUAGCAUGGUGGCUCUGAGGUACAUCUGAAGGUCACUAUGACCUCUCCCUGCCUUGAACAGAAUAAUUAUGAUCUUACGAGGUAAAACUAGAAGCCACUAGAGCUGUUGAAGGGGUUAGUUAGUACAUGUCCUGUCCUUAGAAAUGUGUUUUCUGGUUAGUUUACCAGAAAUUGCAGGUUUAUGCCUGGGAAGAGAAAAGGUUCUUACACAAGUAGUAAUUGUGCUCCAGAAUCUGGCUUUAACCAGAUUCCGGAGUUAGGGGGUUCCUUUCCCUACUCAAGCCUCCAUAAUUCCCCUGGCUCUCUGUACUACCUCAGUAAUGGGAGUCAUAAUUAGAAUUUCUUCAGGAAAUCCUGCUUGGGGGUCAGGAUAGGCCUAAACCCUGGCUCCCAAGAAGAUUCCUCUCACAGUUUUGAUGGCUUAUCUCAUAGCUAAACCAACACAUUCGAAUGUCCUGGCAUUUGUCCCGUCUUUUCUGUGAAUUCUAACACUGCUGCAAGGCAGAGAAGCUGAGAAUUUUACUUCCUCGGUUCUAGACAAAACUGUAAAUAAGUCUGUUCCUUUCACUGGCUCCUCUUCUCCUGGUUUUCAGUAGAGAUCAAGGCACCUGAAAUUCUGGUCACAUUGUGCCUUAAAUAAAUAGGAUUUUCAAAACUUGUGUUCCACUUUGUCCCCUCUCACCUGAGUAGGUGGGGGCACGUGUGUGUGUGUGUGUGUGGAAUUUUGUGGUUUUUCUUUUCUUUCUUUUUUUUGAGACAAGUUCUCAUUGUGUAGCUCGGGCUGGAACUUGCUAUGUAGUCCCAGUUUACAAGGAACCAGCAGUUGCCUCUGCCUCCCAAGUGCUGGGAUUAAAGAUGUGUGGCACCACACCCAGCAAGAAUUUUUUAAUAUAUUUUAUUUUUAUUUAA